rnacentral:tRNA from 1 species
GCCCAAGUGGCUCAUUGGUUGAGUGUCUGCCUUUGGCUCAGGUCAUGAUUCUGGGGUCCUGGGAUCAAGUCCCACAUUGGGCU